rnacentral:rRNA from 1 species
GACGAACGCUGGCGGCGUGCUUAACACAUGCAAGUCGAGCGGAGCGGCGAACGGGUGAGUAACGCGUGAGUAACUGCCCCCCUCUCUGGGAUAACAGUUGGAAACGGCUGCUAAUACCGGAUAGUUUGGGAUGGCCCGCGGCCUAUCAGCUUGUUGGUGGGGUAAUGGCCUACCAAGGCGGCGACGGGUAGCCGGCCUGAGAGGGUGGACGGCCACAUUGGGCUGAGACACGGCCCAGACUCCUACGGGAGGCAGCAGUGGGUAAUUUUGCACAAUGGGCGGAAGCCUGAUGCAGAGACGCCGCUUGGGCGAUGACGUCCUUCGGGUUGUAAACACCUUUUAUCAUCGACGCGGUAGAUGGCGAACAAGCACCGGCUAACUACGUGCCAGCAGCCGCGGUAAUAC